UACGGGGGGGGCAAGCGUUGUUCGGAAUUACUGGGCGUAAAGCGUGUGUAGGCGGCCACGUAAGUCGGAUGUGAAAGCCCCGGGCUCAACCCGGGAAGUGCACUCGAUACUGCGUGGCUUGAGUAUCGGAGAGGUUGGUGGAAUUCUCGGUGUAGAGGUGAAAUUCGUAGAUAUCGAGAGGAACACCGGUGGCGAAGGCGGCCAACUGGACGAAUACUGACGCUGAGACACGAAAGCGUGGGGAGCAAACAGG
rnacentral:rRNA from 1 species